rnacentral:rRNA from 1 species
UUACGCUGUUAUCCCUAAGGUAAUUUAAUCUUAUAAUCAAAAUAAAUGGAUCAAAUAAAUAUAAAUCAAUAUAACCACUAAACCAAGAGGAGUUAAAUUAUAUUCCUCUCAUCACCCCAACAAAACACAAGAUUCACUUAUUAAAAAUAAAACAAACUACAAAUAAACAAGCAAAUCAACAUGUCAAACUCUAUAGGGUCUUCUCGUCCCAUAAAAACAUCUAAGAAUUUUAACUCAAAAACCAAAUUCAAUAAAACAUUCAAAUUUAAGACAGCUCGCAUCUCGUCAAGCCAUUCAUUCCAGAUCACAAUUAAAGAACUAAUGAUUAUGCUACCUUUGCACGGUCAAAAUACCGCGGCCCUUCAACAAUAAGUCAGCGGGCAGGCCAUACUUCAAAAACUAACAAGAAAAGAUGUUUUUGAUAAACAGGCG